GAUGAACGCUGGCGGCGUGCCUAAUACAUGCAAGUCGAGCGAACAGAUAAGGAGCUUGCUCCUUUGACGUUAGCGGCGGACGGGUGAGUAACACGUGGGUAACCUACCUAUAAGACUGGGAUAACUUCGGGAAACCGGAGCUAAUACCGGAUAAUAUUUCGAACCGCAUGGUUCGAUAGUGAAAGAUGGUUUUGCUAUCACUUAUAGAUGGAUCCGCGCCGUAUUAGCUAGUUGGUAAGGUAACGGCUUACCAAGGCGACGAUACGUAGCCGACCUGAGAGGGUGAUCGGCCACACUGGAACUGAGACACGGUCCAGACUCCUACGGGAGGCAGCAGUAGGGAAUCUUCCGCAAUGGGCGAAAGCCUGACGGAGCAACGCCGCGUGAGUGAUGAAGGUCUUCGGAUCGUAAAACUCUGUUAUUAGGGAAGAACAUACGUGUAAGUAACUGUGCACGUCUUGACGGUACCUAAUCAGAAAGCCACGGCUAACUACGUG
rnacentral:rRNA from 1 species